rnacentral:tRNA from 1 species
CGAGCGGCGGUGAUGGUGAGCGCGCCAGGUUUCGAACCUGGGACCUACUGGUUAAAAGCCAGUUGCUCUGCCA